rnacentral:rRNA from 1 species
AACGAACGCUGGCGGCAGGCUUAACACAUGCAAGUCGAACGCAUCCUUCGGGGUGAGUGGCAGACGGGUGAGUAACGCGUGGGAACGUGCCCUUCAGUUCGGGAUAACCCAGGGAAACUUGGGCUAAUACCGGAUACGUGCGAGAGCAGAAAGAUUUAUCGCUGAAGGAUCGGCCCGCGUCUGAUUAGCUAGUUGGUGGGGUAAUGGCCCACCAAGGCGACGAUCAGUAGCUGGUCUGAGAGGAUGAUCAGCCACAUUGGGACUGAGACACGGCCCAAACUCCUACGGGAGGCAGCAGUGGGGAAUAUUGGACAAUGGGCGCAAGCCUGAUCCAGCCAUGCCGCGUGAGUGAUGAAGGCCUUAGGGUUGUAAAGCUCUUUCGUCCGGGGCGAUAAUGACGGUACCGGAAGAAGAAGCCCCGGCUAACCUCGUGCCAGCAGCCGCGGUAA